rnacentral:misc_RNA from 1 species
UCUCCGUUGGUGAACCAGCGGAGGGAUCAUUACAGGACUCGCAAGACUCCUUCACCCUGUGAACCUCACUACAAGCACGUUGCUUCGGCGGGUGUCCCGGCGGGGGUUUUCCCUCGCCGGGGCGCACAGCCCGCCGGCAGCCUACUAUACUCUGUCUCUUUGCGUUGGCAUCUCGAGAAAAAACAAACAAGUUAAGACUUUCAACAACGGAUCUCUUGGUUCUG